rnacentral:rRNA from 1 species
CUACCAUGGCAGUCACGGGUAACGGAGAAUUAGGGUUCGAUUCCGGAGAGGGAGCCUGAGAAACGGCUACCACAUCUAAGGAAGGCAGCAGGCGCGUAAAUUACCCAAUCCCGAUUCGGGGAGGUAGUGACAAGAAAUAGCAACUCGUGCGGGUUUCCGUUACGGGAUUGCAAUGAGAUAAGUCCAAAUCCGUAAACGAUUAACAAUUGGAGGGCAAGUCUGGUGCCAGCAGCCGCGGUAAUUCCAGCUCCAAUAGCGUAUACUUAAGUUGUUGCAGUUAAAAAGCUCGUAGUUGAAAUUCGAGUCAGUUACUAGUUGGCUCUUCGUCAGUUAGUUAAUUGAUUCUCCGUCUACAAUCCCUUUUGCGCUUUAGGGUUGCAGCUGGGCGAGUAGACAAUUUACCUUGAAAAAAUUAGAGUGUUCCAGGCAGGUCUUCGCCGGAAUACAUUAGCAUGGAAUAAUGGAAUAGGACUUGGGUCUUUUGUUGGUUUUAGGACUUGAGUAAUGAUUAAUAGGGACAGAUGGGGGCAUUGGUAUUUAAUUGUCAGAGGUGAAAUUCUUGGAUUUAUUAAAGACUAACUUAUGCGAAAGCAUUUGCCAAGGAUGUUUUCAUUAAUCAAGAACGAAAGUUAGGGGAUCA